rnacentral:rRNA from 1 species
AAUCAACGCUGGCGGCGUGCCUCAGACAUGCAAGUCGAACGCGAAAGUCCCCUUCGGGGGACAAGUAGAGUGGCGCACGGGUGAGUAACACGUAGGUAAUCCACCUUCGGAUGGGGAAGUAACAACCGGAAACGGUUAGCUAAUACCGCAUAAUGCAGCGGCACCUAAUGGUGACAGUUGUUAAAGCGGGGGAUCGAAAGACCUCGCGUCUGAAGAGGAGCCUGCGGCGGAUUAGCAGUUGGUAAGGUGACGGCUUACCAAGGCUACGAUCUGUAUCCGGUCUAAGAGGACGGUCGGACACACUGACACUGAA